GCCCUAAAAAGCAAAAAAUAAAUAAUUGGUAAAUGACUGAAUGAAUGAACAGAGAGGGGAAAGUACCUUGUGGGCUUCUCCUCCCUCACUCUCUUCCAAAUAUUUGUUCCAUGCCCCUGCUGGAGCAUGUGAUAACUCAUGCCUCAAAAUUACACAUCCGACACCCCUGGGCUCCCCCAAUAAACCUGUGAGAUGCCACCUGGCUUCCUCUCUACCACAUGCAGCAUGUUAACUAAUCCAGGGCACCAGCCGGAGCAGGAAAGGAAAAAGGAAGCAGGUGGAGGACGUUCUGUCCCCAGUACCAGUACUUCUGCCCUACCUGGGUCUGAGCCACCUGGCUCAGGCCUUCCUCAUCAUGCCUGGGAAUCUAGCUGGACCUAAUAUGCCCUUGGAGAUACUGCAUUGCUAAAGCCUCUGUUCACAUCUCUGAUGUAAAGUGCUUCCUAAACUGCUUAAAUUUUGUGAGAAUUGGAAAACGUUAUAUUUGAAAAUUUAGGAUUAACAAUGGAUGGUUUCUGUUUCUUUUGUUUUCUAGCAAAUUUACAGUAGAAAGUGAUCACUACUGUAGGUGAAAUAUCACCUAAGUCAUUCAGUCCCAAAUAAUUACCAAGAGCUUCUUAGGGAUGCAAUGUGAAUAAAAGUCAUCUGCCCUAAUGGAAAUUACAGUGUAUGGGGGUAGACAGACUAUCAAAUAUUAUCUUUUUCAUAAUGCUUAUGGUGCACUUUACAUAUAUAUUCAUUUCAUCACUGUAACAACUCAGUCAUGUUCUGUUAUUAUCCCCAUUGUAGAGUUACAAACUGAUAGAGUCACAAAGGUCAAGUGUAGAAGUAGGGAGCCCUAAUCUUGUUCUAAGAGUCAGGGAACGUUUCUUUCAAGGUGAGAGGUUGAAGCAGAGAUCUGAGGAUUGAGUUGGAACCUAGUAGACAAAGAGUUCUGGGAACAGGCAAUAGAAACAGCAGAUGCAAAGGGAUAUUCAUUUGUUUGAGGAAGUGAAAGGCUCUCUGUAGAGGGAGCACUGGGAGCUCAAGAUGAGGCAGGGGAGGUAGGCAGGGGCCGAAACACCUAAGCUUUUUUCCUCAAUGUCUUCAAAUAGUAUGAUAAGGUCAGGGAAGCAAAAAUAGUUAGGAGAUUUAAGGUUUAUUCUUAGCUUUGUUCUUCAUAGCCUCAGCCUUCUCUCCAUGGCACAGUUUCCUUAUCUGGGGGGGAAAAAAAUGAGUGAAUGGACCAGAGCACUCAAGUGGUCAUGGCUUCUAAAGCUCUGAUUCUAGGUCAGGCUCUGUGGAGAUGUAGGCCUUGGCUGCUGCUGAAUGCACUGAGGCCUCUGACUCCUCUGUGGAUUAGGUAAGUACAGAUGAUGGAGGAUAUCAUACACAAGUAAGUUAUGCAAUAAAUAUAGUUGUGAGCAUGGCUUGUUCCCUUUGUUGGAUAACCACCUCUUUGGGGCAUUUCCUGUGUGCCAGCAUGGUACCAGGUACUUUCAGGUAGAUUUCUCAUGACAAGUCCUAGUUAGAUUUAAAAGCUGAGGCAUCAAGGGAUUGAACAACUUCUGGAAGGCCCUCACCACCCACCUUUGUUCUGCCUACUGAGCGUGCCCAGUCCUGUUUCCUGUCGCCAGGUGUGUUCACUUGAGCAAUGACUUUCUCUGUAUUUGUUCAGUGGCUGACUUGGAAUUUGAGCCCAACUCUGACUCCAAAGCUGUGGUAUUGACUACCCUGCGAUGCUGCCUUCCCUACUUAAAACACAGGCAACUCCUUGCUCUAUAAAUAGGGUGACAUUGUCUCUUAAACGUCCUUUCUGGGUGAGGAAAGUGCUUUUUAUAGCUUGGGGCGGCUUCUGUUUACUUGGUCUCUUCCAACACCGGUUAAUCCCGCCUACAGCUGUGUCCUUCACUGUCCUUACACUGUAUUCUGAGGUUUCCUCCCUGCAAAAGACAACUCCACCAGGCCAAAUGGUGUCUGUGUGUGCCAGCAAAGAAAUUACACUCUCCUCCCUCUCCAAAUCCGCCUACCUUUCCAUAAAUAAUCCUUCUCCUCCUUCCCCUCAGGCCUGUGAGUAGUUUGGUCACUUAACUAAACACACUCACACAAACUCACAAAGGUUUCAGGGAGGAGGGGACAACGUGAAUGACCUUGCAAAGGUAUCCAGCUCACGGGGGCAGGAUUAGUAAACCAAAACCUCUACAAAUACAUGUUUUCUCCCCCACGCCGCAUUACUCUGAAGCUCCUUGCUCGCUCCCACCUCAGUCCGCUCUUGGCUCAGUCGGCCAUACAAAGCCCAACCCGCCCAUCUCUUCUUUUGCAAAGCCCGAGAACUUCAGUCCCCAUGUUGAAGCUCGGCGGUGGCGGUGGCGGUGGUGGUGGUGGCGGGCAGGACUGGGCAUGCUCAGUAGCGGGGACAGGUCUGGGAGGCGAGGAAGCCGUGUUUGAAGUCGCGCGGCUGGGGUAUACGGGAAAGGCGGGCUGCGGGGCCCCCGGCUCGGGGUGUGCGGGGAUCCCGGAUUCCGCGCCCGGAGCGGGCAUGCUCCAGGCCGGCCCCGGGGGGCCGACGCGCGGGGGGCAGGGCGUGGAGGAGGUGGGAGAACCCGCGGGAGGAGGGGAGGAGCACCCAGCUCUCCAUCCCCCGGCGCCGGCUCUGCGGCUGCUGAAUCGGAAGCCGCAAGGAGGAUCCGCGGAAAUAAAGACGCCGGAGAAUGACCUCCAGAGAGGCCGCAUGAGCCGGGGCCCGCGCACUGUCCCACCAGCCCCGGGCAUGGGCGACCACGGCGGGCACCCGGAGCUCUCGGCCCCGCAAGCCCCGGGGACUCCCGUCGGCGCCGGCGUUGCAGCCUUGAACGGGCUGCUGCACAACGGCUUCUACCCGCCGUCAGUGCAGCCGCCGCGCCUCUGCGGCCGGGGCCCUGCGGGCGGCGGCGACGCGGCGCCCCAGCGCCUCCCGCUCCAGCCCGACCUCCAGUCACAGCCGCCGCCCCCUCAGCACGAUUCCCCGGCCAAGAAAUGCCGGCUGCGGAGGAGGAUGGACUCGGGCAGGAAGAACAGGCCGCCAUUCCCAUGGUUUGGCAUGGACAUCGGUGGGACUCUAGUUAAGCUGGUCUACUUUGAACCCAAGGAUAUUACAGCUGAAGAGGAGCAGGAGGAAGUGGAGAACCUGAAGAGCAUCAGGAAGUAUCUGACUUCUAACACUGCCUAUGGGAAAACCGGGAUCCGAGAUGUCCACCUGGAACUGAAAAACUUGACCAUGUGUGGACGGAAGGGAAACCUGCACUUCAUCCGCUUUCCCAGUUGCGCGAUGCACAGGUUCAUCCAGAUGGGCAGCGAGAAGAACUUCUCCAGCCUCCACACCACCCUCUGUGCCACGGGAGGCGGGGCUUUCAAGUUUGAAGAGGACUUCAGAACGAUCGCUGACCUGCAGCUCCAUAAACUGGAUGAACUGGACUGUCUCAUUCAGGGCCUGCUUUAUGUUGACUCCGUCGGCUUCAACGGCAAGCCGGAAUGUUAUUAUUUUGAGAAUCCCACAAAUCCCGAAUUGUGUCAAAAAAAGCCGUACUGCCUGGAUAACCCAUACCCUAUGUUGCUGGUGAACAUGGGCUCAGGUGUGAGCAUUCUAGCAGUGUACUCCAAGGACAACUAUAAAAGAGUGACAGGGACCAGUCUUGGAGGUGGAACAUUCCUAGGCCUAUGUUGCUUGCUGACUGGUUGUGAGACCUUUGAAGAAGCUCUGGAAAUGGCAGCUAAAGGCGACAGCACCAAUGUUGAUAAGCUGGUGAAGGACAUUUACGGAGGAGACUAUGAACGAUUUGGCCUUCAAGGAUCUGCGGUAGCAUCAAGCUUUGGCAACAUGAUGAGUAAGGAAAAACGAGAGUCCAUCAGCAAGGAAGACCUCGCCCGGGCCACACUGGUCACCAUCACCAACAACAUUGGCUCCAUUGCUCGGAUGUGUGCAUUGAACGAGGUAAGGCCUUAACCCAGAGAGAGCCGUGUGCCAUUCAUAAACACCAUCAUUGGCAGUGCAGUAACUGUUGACCCUCAUAAAACUACACAACAUUGGGAAACUGGCUCUCUGUCAUAGUCACACCUUGUAGGAUAUGAGGGGUGUGUGCUGGGAGAGGGAGAGGAGUAUGUGUUUUAUUUUUAAGUAGGCACUGGAUGAUGACGAACAAAACCAUCUAACUAUGGAAACAUGGUCAAGGUGACAGUCUAUGCCAUAGCCUCUCCAACUUCAUGGACACACACCUAUUGAAGUGUGAGGAAAGUCUCUGUGCAUCCUUGCAAAUAAUUGCAGAAUAUUGACAGAGUUGUGUUUGUUGGGAAUUUUCUCAGAAUCAAUAUGGUCUCCAUGAAGCUGCUAGCAUAUGCCAUGGAUUUUUGGUCCAAAGGACAGCUAAAAGCUCUGUUCUUGGAACAUGAGGGUUAUUUCGGAGCUGUUGGGGCACUGUUGGAACUGUUCAAAAUGACUGAUGACCAGUAGAGAUGAGCCAUAGAUGGAACAGCCUUCUGGGAGAACAGGGAACUGAGCUCUGGAAAGGGUGAAAGCCACUACAGGACGGAAGCCAAGCCAUUAUGGCAGAUGAACCUGCUGGAUUUGUAAAUAAUUUAAAAUCCUUCUAGCUGAUCUUUUACUCUUGGAUUUUGAGCUUCUGAUUCAAAAUGGGGAAUACAAGAGUUUUUUUCUGUAUACUGUAUUUUUAAAAAAAAAAUCAUUUGUGCAGCGAGGCCAAACAUACCAAUUUGAUGCAUUAACUCUAAGAAAUUGUACGAUGUUUAGGAAGGACCUGAAAUGUAAGUGCUGUUUAUUCUUCUUCUGGGGUUUACUGAUCAGUGUGGUAAUUUUAACUUCAUUUAGUAAUUACUCUAGGAGAUUUUACCUUUACUUAUUUUUCAUGACGUUUCAUGAUUUGCUGUUGGUUUCAAAUGAAACUACAAAUCUGGCAUGUUUUACUGUGAACACUAUUUUGUUUGUUUGUUUACCUUUUUUGGUCUUGUUUUUUUCUGUUUGAAUGUCUUAUGAAAAAAGAGAAUCCUUCCCCUUGUUUCUGUCCUUGGAUGACUCCCCACCCCUCUCAAUACUGUUCAUUCAUGUAAUUGUUUAUAUUAAUCAAGGUGCUGACCAAUUCAGUACAAAGUUAAGCACGAGAUCUAAAGCUCUCAAAAGUGCCCUUGAAGAGAAAACCCUGAGUGUUCACAAAUUUAGUGAGUCCUGAAAAAGUUGAAAAUUAUAUGCAAUUUUGACUUUCCCUUAUGAAUCUACAAUGUUGCAUUGGAUUUAUUUUAUGUUAGGUCAUAUUAAAUUGAGACGUUCUCUGAUGGAAUGUCCUCAUCCAUGCACAGCAUAUGAAUGGCAGCAAAUCCUUGUACAGAUGUUGGGAUUUACAGGGGCAAGUCUCCUAGCAGAGUAACUGUACACACUGGGAGGUUUAGGAGAAGUCAUGGCUUGAGGUGUCCAUAUAGUCAUAUCUGUGUUUUGUACAUGUAUGUACCUAGGAGCUUUGUAACAAGGCAUCUUAAAUAAUAAUAAAGUUUUUUUUAGUUGAAAUAUUUUAAGCUGAAAAUUAUAUUUCAAUCCCACUUUCUAAAAUUUGAAAAGAAUAUGAUACUGAUGUAUUUUUUUUUUCUGUUUAAAUGAAAUCAUUGGGACCGAUGGGUAACUUUCUAAUGAGAGUCUUGUAUAAAUAUUGAAACACAUGAGAUCUAAUGAUUUAAAACUAAGAAAUCCUUUCAGUUGAUUUUUUGAAGGGCAGAACAGUUGCUCCAUGAUGAAACUUUCCUUCUCUGCCUUCUGGGCACCAUCUCUAAUUCCCAUGUCUUCAAGUCUUGAAGAAGUUGAUGUUAAUUGAAACAUUCACUUGUCUGGUUGAAAUAAAGCCUGUUUCUGUUGUGAU